AUUGAACGCUGGCGGCAGGCCUAACACAUGCAAGUCGAACGAGUGGCGGACGGGUGAGUAAUGUCUGGGAAACUGCCUGGUGGAGGGGGAUAACUACUGGAAACGGUAGCUAAUACCGCAUACCAUCAGAUGUGCCCAGAUGGUAGUAGCUUUUUGGUGGGGUAAAGGCCUACCAAGGCGACGAUCCGUAACUGCUCUGAGAGGAUGAUCAGUCACACUGGAACUUGGACACGGUCCAUACUCCUACGGGAGGCAGCAGUGGGGAAUAUUGGACAAGUGGCGAAAGCCUGAUCCCGACAUGCCGCGUGUGUGAAGAAGUUCUUCGGAUUGUAAAGCACUUUAAGUUGGGAGGCGUGAAAAAAAGAAUAAGCACCGGCUAACUUCGUGCCAGCAGAAGCGGUAAUAG
rnacentral:rRNA from 1 species